rnacentral:rRNA from 1 species
AAAACAACGAUUCCCUUACAAUCACCGAAGUUAAGCAACGUCGUGCCUUGUCAGUAUCUAGAUGGGUGACCGCUUGGGAAUACCAGGUGCUGUAAG